AUUGAACGCUGGCGGCAUGCUUUACACAUGCAAGUCGAACGGUAACAGGCCGCAAGGUGCCGACGAGUGGCGAACGGGUGAGUAAUGCAUCGGAACGUGCCCAGUCGUGGGGGAUAACGCAGCGAAAGCUGCGCUAAUACCGCAUACGAUCUCUGGAUGAAAGCGGGGGACCGAAAGGCCUCGCGCGAUUGGAGCGGCCGAUGUCAGAUUAGGUAGUUGGUGGGGUAAAGGCCCACCAAGCCAACGAUCUGUAGCUGGUCUGAGAGGACGACCAGCCACGCUGGGACUGAGACACGGCCCAGACUCCUACGGGAGGCAGCAGUGGGGAAUUUUGGACAAUGGGCGCAAGCCUGAUCCAGCAAUGCCGCGUGCAGGAAGAAGGCCUUCGGGUUGUAAACUGCUUUUGUACGGAACGAAACGGUCCGGGCUAAUACCCUGGGCUAAUGACGGUACCGUAAGAAUAAGCACCGGCUAACUACGUGCCAGCCGCCGCGGUAA
rnacentral:rRNA from 1 species